rnacentral:rRNA from 1 species
AGAGUUUGAUCCUGGCUCAGGAUGAACGCUAGCUACAGGCUUAACACAUGCAAGUCGAGGGGCAGCAUGAACUUAGCUUGCUAAGUUUGAUGGCGACCGGCGCACGGGUGAGUAACGCGUAUCCAACCUUCCGUACACUCAGGGAUAGCCUUUCGAAAGAAAGAUUAAUACCUGAUGGUAUGAUGGGAUUGCAUGAUAGCAUCAUUAAAGAUUCAUCGGUGUACGAUGGGGAUGCGUUCCAUUAGAUAGUAGGCGGGGUAACGGCCCACCUAGUCGACGAUGGAUAGGGGUUCUGAGAGGAAGGUCCCCCACAUUGGAACUGAGACACGGUCCAAACUCCUACGGGAGGCAGCAGUGAGGAAUAUUGGUCAAUGGGCGCGAGCCUGAACCAGCCAAGUAGCGUGAAGGAUGAAGGUCCUACGGAUUGUAAACUUCUUUUAUAAGGGAAUAAAGUCACCCACGUGUGGGUGUUUGUAUGUACCUUAUGAAUAAGCAUCGGCUAACUCCGUGCCAGCAGCCGCGGUAAUACGGAGGAUGCGAGCGUUAUCCGGAUUUAUUGGGUUUAAAGGGAGCGUAGACGGGUCGUUAAGUCAGCUGUGAAAGUUCGGGGCUCAACCUUGAAAUUGCAGUUGAUACUGGCGUCCUUGAGUACGGUUGAGGCAGGCGGAAUUCGUGGUGUAGCGGUGAAAUGCUUAGAUAUCACGAAGAACCCCGAUUGCGAAGGCAGCCUGCUAAACCGCCACUGACGUUGAGGCUCGAAAGUGUGGGUAUCAAACAGGAUUAGAUACCCUGGUAGUCCACACGGUAAACGAUGGAUACUCGCUGUUGGCGAUAGACUGUCAGCGGCUUAGCGAAAGCGUUAAGUAUCCCACCUGGGGAGUACGCCGGCAACGGUGAAACUCAAAGGAAUUGACGGGGGCCCGCACAAGCGGAGGAACAUGUGGUUUAA